rnacentral:lncRNA from 1 species
AAUAAUAAAAUUAAGAGAGAUUACUGAGAAAAAUAUUCAGUCUUUGAGGUGUGAUGUGUUGUGAACUAACCUUCUGUGUCGCUUUUUAAACAGGAAAAGGUAGGAUACUCUGUCAUGUAAUGUUACUGUUACAUAUUGAUUCAACAGUGGCAUAUCUCAUUUCUAAUGAUGUUCUGGAUUAUCCUUGGUGAUAAAAUUGAUCAGUAGUUACAGGAGACAGUUUCUGACGGAUCCUGCAGUCAGAGUGCUGGUAUCAUGUCACAGCCCAUGAGAUACGCAGUGAGUCGAUUUGAUGUUGAUAUAACAGUUUUAUAGUUUGAACAAUAGAAUCAAACCAUUUUGACUCAAGACAAUGACAAAGCUUUACAAUGGCACCUGUGUGUGUGUGAUGGUUGCCUCUCUUUCAGCUUUAACUACUUCUUCCCUCUAUUUACUCAUGCCUUCUGAAGCAACAUUUAAAAAUAGUAACAGGGAAAAUAUCUUUUUGAUGAUCAUGUUCUAUCACUUGAAGAUGUUUUACAUUUAAUUUUGUGGAGUACAUCAGCUUUGAAUUGCUGUCCAUCGUUUUAUAGAAUAGACUGUGCAGCUCAUUUGUUAUUUGUGAGAGUUUCCUUGACCAACACCGCAAUGUCUCAGACAUUCCUGCGGUUCAUAUGAUGCUUGAAAUGGGGCAGGAGGUCUUGGGGAAGUAGCCAUGACCCCCAGGGAAGCUGGUUCUGUUGAUUCUGGCUCUGUGCUUGCUGAUCCGUGCAGCUGGAGCUCCAGUUGUUCCCUCUGGUGAUGGGUCCAGUGCUCUCCUGAGGUUUUUCUCAUUUUCUGUCUGAGAGUUGCGGUGGGAGAGCAGUUUGGGAACUUCAGGCUUUCACAACAGCCACACUUGUGUCCUGGAGGGAAACCAGAGUGUGUACACAACCAAAACACCUUUUCCAUGGAUCAGAAAAAAGUAAAAAAGCACUGGGUGAUGUGAUGUUGGCCUCCUGAAAUAACUGGGCUUGUUAGCUGGGAACAAGAAUACGUUUUCAUUCCAUGCACAGAUUUUCACUAGAUACAUUCUUGCUGUUCAAAGUUCUCUCUUCUGUCUGUGUAUGAACUACCCAACGUUCACGGAGCCCCUGUAGCCCACACGUUGCCCUCCAACUCCCUCCAGCGGCCAUAAAAUGGAGGUCGUGGGAGGACGCUUUUGCAAUGACGUGCAGUUUAAGCACAUGAUUUUGAGCACUAGAGUGAACUGAAAGAGAUGCAUUGAUUUCAGGGAAUCCGGACCAGUUUGUGUGACUGAGAAUGUGACCCAAUAAUUUCUCUUUUCCAGCAAGACAGGCGUUUGGUAACACAGUUGUGCUUUGGCACACACGUAGCUGCUGAAAGACACAUACUGAGUGAAAUACAAGCAAUUUAUUCUCAGCAGUAGUCUGUACACUAUGCCAGCGUGUUUGGAAGGCUUAUUUUGAUUUGCUUGCGUGGCUACCUAUGAAAUGAAUGGCAGAAUAAAGGAAAGGGGACCUCUGGGUUGGCAGCAGGUCAGGUAAUAUGUGACAGAUGAGCGCUGAUGUGCUUGUGGUAGGCCUGCCAUUAAAGCACUCUGUGUAGAGAAGCGGGCUGUCUGUGUGUGAGCAAUUGAAAUAAUGCCCAUCCAGGCGUGCUUAUCAUUGCUGAGAUGCUAGGGAUGUUGUACGCAGCUGACAUCCUGGUAGGAUUUGUGAUAUCCUCCGGGGUAACAGAGACUGCAGGAAAACACACUGGAAAAGGCGGUAAAAUAAGUGGGGCCUCUUAGAAGGCACAAAAGGGCACAAUUUUAGGACAAAUCUCUGCUGUCCAGAAGGCAGGAUAGGCAUAAGGCCUCACGAGAUACACUGCUUGGUGCCCAGGACUUUAAAGUUCCUGUCUCAGGGCCACGUUUUAGGCCGAAUUUGACCUAAAAAGGGUUCUCCCUUCG